rnacentral:snRNA from 1 species
CAUUGUAAUGAUGUUUACUUUU